GAUGAACGCUGGCGGCGUGCUUAACACAUGCAAGUCGAACGAAGCAUUUAAGGCAGCUUACUUCGGUUUGAAGUCUUUUAUGACUGAGUGGCGGACGGGUGAGUAACGCGUGGGUAACCUGCCUCAUACAGGGGGAUAGCAGCUGGAAACGGCUGGUAAUACCGCAUAAGCGCACAGUACCACAUGGUACAGUGUGAAAAACUCCGGUGGUAUGAGAUGGACCCGCGUCUGAUUAGCUUGUUGGCGGGGUAACGGCCCACCAAGGCGACGAUCAGUAGCCGACCUGAGAGGGUGACCGGCCACAUUGGGACUGAGACACGGCCCAGACUCCUACGGGAGGCAGCAGUGGGGAAUAUUGCACAAUGGAGGAAACUCUGAUGCAGCGACGCCGCGUGAGUGAAGAAGUAGUUCGCUAUGUAAAGCUCUAUCAGCAGGGAAGAUAGUGACGGUACCUGACUAAGAAGCUCCGGCUAAAUACGUG
rnacentral:rRNA from 1 species